GGUGGAUUAGUUUAUUUGGUAAAACAACGUUCUCGUAAAGCGUAGAGACGAGUUCGAGUCUCGUAUCCACCU
rnacentral:tRNA from 1 species